AUGUCUUAAGUCUUGCAUGACCAAACUUUCCACUUCCCAUUUUGGGGAGAGAGAGAGAGAGAGAGAGAACCAUAUGGGGUAUUCAGGAUUUCAGGGAGAGGGGUAGGGGUCAUGCGCAGAGGCUCAGUGUUGUGGGGUGAAAAGUUAUUUGAAAAUAAUGGAAAGAACAUUUUCUGCAUCGUGAUUCUUUAAUUGUAUGAUAAUGUUUUCAAUGUUUUAGAUUACAUUGAUCUGUAUUAUUUUAAAGUAUAUAUGAAGAUUAGUUUAUAGGUUUAUGCACUUAAAUUGGAUAUAUGGUAUUUUUCAGAUUAUUUGACAUACAAUUGCAUAUAAUCUCAAUUUUUCUCAUGCAAUUUUUGUCUGACCUUCGGAAUCGUUGAAUAGGAUAAUUCAUACUUGGAUAGCUACAUCAGCACAAUUGGAGUUGAAUUUAUUAAAUGUCCUAUUUACAGCAAAGCCGUCAGGUUUGGGCUGAUAUUGGGGCUGGGUUGGAAGGGCAAUUUUGUCCUGUGCGUUUGAGACAGAUUGGGGUGGGUUUAGGUUUGCUGUCAUUCAGUGAGUGCUUUCGGGAAUGGGAGGCCAUGCCUCCGAUAGGGAGAGAGACAGAGCGAGAGAGAGGGAGCGGGAGGAGUGGGGAUCUCAGCACCAUUUCUGCAGAUCCUCGAUUUCAUUUGGCUUCGUUUUCCCUUUCUGAAACCCUAACAGCCACAACACCAUCUUUGGAAUAGCAUCGGCUUCCUGCUUCCUAAAAUCAAAACCACUCAAAGUGGCCUUCAUUUAUGUAACUCGAGAGCUUCGGUGAGAUGGAGGAGAGGAGCAUGGAGAUGGGCUCGAGUCCGCAAACGACGGAAGAGAUCUUGAGGUUCAUGGAUUGUUAAGGAGAGUGUGGGAAAGAAAGGGUGCCUCACUGGUUAGGCACUGGAAAUCAAUUAUUUCCAUCGGAAGAACUACUUGGAGUACAUUUGGGAGCAAGCUGAAAUUGAUAUCAUUGAGCACAAGACAAGAAAAAGCCUCCAUUUCCAUCUCCUAAAAGCAGCAGAAGAAAAUUAAACAAGCAUUUUCAUACAGCUGGAGGCUGUGGUCACUGCCUGACAUCAAAGACUACUUAGAAGUGGCAGCCUUUAAGUCCGUUCAUUUUUUAAUGCGCAAGAUGCAAGACAACAGAAAAAUCCGAAGAACAGAGGAGUUUACUAUCGGCCGGGACAUAAAAUAUGAAGAGAUGAAACGUUUUCAUCAACAUGAUUCUUGGAAAUAAGAAGCGUGCUUAUGUUUUUGUCACAGAUCCUGAAGAAAACUAUAGAUCUGCAUGCAUUUGUAUCUUCAGAGAAUUCUAACUGUUGUUCUGAAUUAGUAGCUGAGAAAAUAGAAUGGGCAAGUAUACAAAUGGAUUUGAUAUUUGAUUCUUGGAGCUCACAUAUAUCUCCACAAUUGUUAAUUUUUAUCAUGCGUUGGUGGUGGGUACCUGAUACGGUACCUCUGGCUCUCUUCUUCACUGCAACAAGUUGCCAAAAAACCUUUACAGAAAUGGAUGCAUCCAUUCUUUUCCCUGGUACAGUUUGCUGCAGCCAACGUCGAAUUCUAUCUAAUUAGGGAAAAGGUCCAACAAAUUUCCACUAGAUCCAUCAAGCGCAUGAUUAAGCUUUUGAAAUUUCUGUGAAAUUGAAGGUCAGUAGAUCUCUCUUAAAUUGAUGAGGGGGCUACAAUUCGUACAAGGAAACUAGCCAGAGAUAUGCUACUAUUUUGGAAGAGAGUAGAUAAAGAGAUGGACUUAUCGAAUGAAGGCAGCAGCAAGGGAAUUUGAGCCUUGGCCUGUAGAGAUACGAUUUUGUAAGGAAGCUAGGCAGUUGCUUCUUUAGGGACUUAUGACAUAGCAUUAGAGAUGGGAAAGAAGUGAUGGGCGCAAGAGCUGAUGAAGAGACAAUUGAAAGAUUAAUUGAGACGGGAGAUGGUGAACAAAUUUUCCAGAAGGCAAUCCAAGAACAAGGGGGAGGCUAGAUAAUGGACACUUUGGCCGAAAUUCAAGAGCGACAUGAUGCUGUUAGAGAUCUUGAGAGGAAGCUUCUCAAUUUACAACAGGUUUAGUUUGAUUCCAACUCCUUUUUGAAUAAAAAAAUUGGUUGUUUUUUUAUUUCUAUAGGGGAGUUGCAGGUGUCCGUGUCAGAUUCAUAAGGAAAAAGAACCAUUUUUGUGGAUAUAUUGAAACAUAAAGAAGGCACUCAAAUUACUUCUGCUCCAACCCAUUUCAACAAUUUAUCAAGCUUUAGUUGAAGCUCCUGGGAAGCAUAUCCAUUAUAUUGCCAACCUUGAAAAGCCUUGGUAAAUAAUGUACACAGUGGUGUUGAAAGUUUUCCUCAUUAUGCUCCUAUGCCCAGUUGGUCAGGUGUAUAUGACAUGCAGUGAGCUCGGGGACACGGAUAGGUUAAUUCAUCCAUGAUGUUGAGCCCUGUCUUGAAUGGUAUCUUGGGCGCCGCGUUUUAGAUGCUUAGGAACCAAAGAGAAAAAAGAAUGAGCUCAAGGGUGCAAUAUCGUUGAAGAUCAGCCCUAAACAAGUUAUGUAAAUCCUAUCAACUCUCUACGUAUAGAAGGUUCUGCAAAUAUAACUAAGCUACCAACUAAUCCUUAGUAGUCAAAGUGCUCCAAUGUUUGGAGUACAUCGGUAAAAUAGGAACGACUAUAUUUUGGGCAUCUCUUAAUAUGUAUAUAUCAGUGUACAUAGCUAAGCUAUAAACUACUACUAUAUACUUUAUAUAAAUAAUUUGUGCAUGUUCUAUAUAAAUAGUUUUUACAUAUCUAUGCAACAUGCCAUAAUACAUUUAGGCCCUUAGCUUAACCUUAUUGUAUCUAUGCAACAUGCUAUAAUACGUUUAGGCCCUUAUCUUAACCCUUUUAUACAAUACUUAUAAUUUGUUUGACAUUUAGGCCCUUAUCCUAAUUCCUAAUUCCCAAGGUUAAACCCAACCGUGCUUUAUUUAGUUGCUUAAAGCUUUAGUUUGUUGAUUGUUAUGUUUUAUCAGCUGUUAUAAAGCCGCUCUCCAUGUUUUUGCCUUUGAACAUGUGUGCUUGAAAACUUGCUGAAACGACAACGGAACAAUUUUUAUGUUUUUUGUUAACUGUUUAAACAGGUGCCUGGCCUGUAGGACAAGUAUUUAACCACCUUUACUACAGGGGCAAAAUAUGUGUGGACUACAUCUUCCUUCUGUUUCUUCUGUAACUUAUGGAAACAGGCAUCCUGCAUCUUUUUAGCUUUGAACAUUAGUGCUUGAAAGAUUAGCUACUGAAACAAGAACAACACACUUUUUUUUGCUUUUUUGUUUAGCUGUUAAAACACGUGCCUGGCCUGUAUGACAUAUAUUUGCCAUCUUAACUUGAAGGGCAAUAUAAGUGUUAAAUGCAUGUUACUUCUGUUUCUCAAGGAAACGGAGCAUUUUUUUGCAACUAUACCUUUUAUAAUCAGCUCGGUUGAAUUUAAAUGUCUUAAUUCAUGUGGUUAAGGUUGGUGCAUUCAAGUCCCGCAGCAACGCGCGGGCAUUUUUACUAGU
rnacentral:sRNA from 1 species